rnacentral:rRNA from 1 species
UAGUCCACGCCGUAAACGAUGAGUACUAGCUGUUAGUGUACUUUUGUACAUUAGUGGCGCAGCUAACGCAUUAAGUACUCCGCCUGAGGAUUACGGUCGCAAGGCUAAAACCCAAAGGAAUUGACGGGGGCCCGCACAAGCGGUGGAGCAUGUGGUUUAAUUCGAUGCAACGCGAAAAACCUUACCUACCCUUGACAUCCUUAGAAGUCCGUAGAGAUAUGGACGUGCCGUAAGGAACUAAGUGACAGGUGCUGCAUGGCUGUCGUCAGCUCGUGUCGUGAGAUGUUGGGUUAAGUCCCGUAACGAGCGCAACCCUUGUCCUUAUUUGCCAGCAUGUAAAGAUGGGUACUUUAAGGAGACUGCCAGUGAUAAGCUGGAGGAAGGUGGGGAUGAGGUCAAGUCAUCAUGGCCCUUAUGGGUAGGGCUACACACGUGCUACAAUGGUUAGUACAGAGGGACGCAAAGCGGUGACGUGGAGCUAAUCCCAGAAAGCUAAUCGUAGUCCGGAUCGAAGU